rnacentral:rRNA from 1 species
UAGCGUAUAUUAAAGUUGUUGCGGUAAAAAAGCUCGUAGUUGGAUUUCUGUUGAGGAAGACCGGUCCGCUCCAUGAGCGCGCAUUUGGUUCUGCCUCGGCAUCCUUCCGGAGUCCGGUUCCGCGCUUAGUUGCGUGGGGCGGUGUUCGGAACUUUUACUUUGAGGAAAUUAGAGUGUUCACGGCAGGCUUGCGCCAGAAUACAUUAGCAUGGAAUAAUACUAUAGGAUCUCGAUUCUAUUUUGUUGGUUUCUAGAGUUGAGAUAAUGAUUAAUAGGGACAAUUGGGGGCAUUCGUAUCGACACGUC